UACGUAGGCAGCGAGCGUUGUUCGGAGUUACUGGGCGUAAAGGGUGUGUAGGCGGUUGUUUAAGUUUGGUGUGAAAUCUCCCGGCUCAACUGGGAGGGUGCGCCGAAUACUGAAUGACUUCGAGUGCGGGAGAGGAGAGUGGAAUUCCUGGUGUAGCGGUGAAAUGCGUAGAUAUCAGGAGGAACACCUGUGGCGAAGGCGUCCAUCUGGCCCGUUACUGACGCUGAGGCGCGAAAGCUAGGGGAGCAAACGGG
rnacentral:rRNA from 1 species